rnacentral:lncRNA from 1 species
UAGGCGCCCUGCAGCGCAGAGAGGGGCUGCCCCUGGACAAGCCGGGAGUUCUUGUUCUUCCCAUGGCGAAACGGCCUCUUUUGCCGCGGUAGUUGUUUCCAGUCCCGGCAAAGCAGGUCCUGUCCGGCUGGAUACUGUGACUGUGCAGUCUACCAACAGCGAGAAUCAGUUCAAGCAGGGAGAAAGUUGUUCGGAGAAGGGGCGAGGAGUCCGGGGCUCCGCGCGGGGGACCCAGGAACCAGGUGUCCGCGCUUGGGCGGCAGCGAGGCUGCGUGGCGGUUGCGGCAAGAACCACUGCUCACUCGGCCCCGGAUCGGGCCGGCUUGGACUGGGCUGCCCUGCAUAGGGGGGAACCUUCCCGCACAACUAAGUUGCCAUUCGGUCUUUGGAGGAGGGGGCUUGGGAUGGGAAUUUCGCACCCCUUUGCCUCUUCCCGCUCCUACCCUCGCCGACGCAUUUACUUUAUUUAGAGCCCCUACCUUCUCAGUCGUUUAAAUGUUACUGUUUUUAUUAGUGACAUACCUGUGAGUCACCUUUUAAAAUAUGAAGUACCUAUGCAAAUUUGAAUUAUAUGGUAAAAACACAUCACCUUUACAAUGAAAACAGCUUCUUUUAAGGCAACGAAAUAACAAUUGACUAUAAUGCUAAAUGUAUCCGCUGAAAAAAGCCUACUUGCACAUGAGAAUUACACGUUUUUCUGCAACAUUUAUAUGUAGCGACUUGGAAACUUCUGGAAAUCUAGAAGAUUCUGACGAGGAGACAAAUUUCUGAUACUUAAAGACUCCAUGGUUCUGUGGGUGGAGAAAUAAAAACUCUAAGUUCUGAUAAGAUGUUUUAGAAUUCAACUAAAACAAUAAAAUAUUAAGAGUAAAAUAGGGAAGUAAGAAAGAGGAAGAGAAACAAAGAAAGGAAAUAAUUUACAGCAAUCUCAGAAAUUUAAUUCCAAAUUGCCAGAAGCUCAAGUGUGGUAAUUUGAAGAAAAG